GUUGACGUGGUCCAGCGGUUAGCACGUUGGUCUCCAAAAAUGAUCAGGUCGAGAUCGCGGGUUCGAUUCUGGUCGAGAACA